UCGCUGAGAUUUUGCUGCUGCACUUCAGGUUCUUCGGAACGUCCAAAAUGGAAACCGAAGCUUCUUCUGUUCAUCAGCGCUCGUUGCAUUUCAGGUGAAGCUAACGCUCUUUGUUUUCGUGUCCAUGGCCGAGUCGCUUGCUUCAUCUCAGGUAGAAUUAAAUUCUAGAGGAUAGUUUUAAGUAGCGUUAGCAUCAAAAGGAGUUGUAGUAGCUUCAGCAUAGGCCAAACAAGUGGGUACUUAACGCUAGCAUCAAGAAGUUGUAGUAGCUUCGGCCUAGACCAAGUGGCUUUACUAUCGGGAUGGUUAGAAAUUGAUGUAUGAUGACAUGUGUCACACCAGCAUCAAAGAGUUUUAGUAGCUUCGACUUAGGCCAACCAAGUUUCGGUAUGGUUACAAAUUGAUGUUGCAUGAUGACAUGUGCCCCAUGAUUAUGAAAUGUUUAGGAAAUGAUGUGAAUAUGAUAUGAUAUAACUCAAAUGUUUAUGAAA